ACGCAACCUGCAUCCUUAUCACUGCACCAAACACAACAAGGAUCAAUCUGGUUGUAUAAUGUCAGUUCAUCAUGGUUAUUAGGUUAUUUAGUCAUUUCAUCUGAGCUCCUAGUGUGGCUCUCCUUAUCUUUUUCAAGUGUUCUACUCUUCUAGUCAGCCAGCCAGCGCCUCUCCUAAACAGGUGUUCUACUCUACCAGUCAGCCAGCCAGCACCUCAGCUAAUAAACAGGUGGUCUACUCCGCCAGUCAGCGCCUCACCUAAUAAACAGGUGGUCUACUCCGCUAGCCGGCGCCUCACCUAAUAAACAGGUGGUCUACUCCGCUAGCCGGCGCCUCACCUAAUAAACAGGUGGUCUACUCCGCUAGCCGGCGCCUCACCUAAUAAACAGGUGGUCUACUCCGCUAGCCGGCGCCUCACCUAAUAAACAGGUGGUCUACUCCGCUAGCCGGCGCCUCACCUAAUAAACAGGUGGUCUACUCCGCUAGCCGGCGCCUCACCUAAUAAACAGGUGGUCUACUCCGCUAGCCGGCGCCUCACCUAAUAAACAGGUGGUCUACUCCGCUAGCCGGCGCCUCACCUAAUAAACAGGUGGUCUACUCCGCUAGCCGGCGCCUCACCUAAUAAACAGGUGGUCUACUCCGCUAGCCGGCGCCUCACCUAAUAAACAGGUGGUCUACUCCGCUAGCCGGCGCCUCACCUAAUAAACAGGUGGUCUACUCCGCUAGCCGGCGCCUCACCUAAUAAACAGGUGGUCUACUCCGCUAGCCGGCGCCUCACCUAAUAAACAGGUGGUCUACUCCGCUAGCCGGCGCCUCACCUAAUAAACAGGUGGUCUACUCCGCUAGCCGGCGCCUCACCUAAUAAACAGGUGGUCUACUCCGCUAGCCGGCGCCUCACCUAAUAAACAGGUGGUCUACUCCGCUAGCCGGCGCCUCACCUAAUAAACAGGUGGUCUACUCCGCUAGCCGGCGCCUCACCUAAUAAACAGGUGGUCUACUCCGCUAGCCGGCGCCUCACCUAAUAAACAGGUGGUCUACUCCGCUAGCCGGCGCCUCACCUAAUAAACAGGUGGUCUACUCCGCUAGCCGGCGCCUCACCUAAUAAACAGGUGGUCUACUCCGCUAGCCGGCGCCUCACCUAAUAAACAGGUGGUCUACUCCGCUAGCCGGCGCCUCACCUAAUAAACAGGUGGUCUACUCCGCUAGCCGGCGCCUCACCUAAUAAACAGGUGGUCUACUCCGCUAGCCGGCGCCUCACCUAAUAAACAGGUGGUCUACUCCGCUAGCCGGCGCCUCACCUAAU